ensembl:lncRNA
UUAUAUUUCAUAUCAAAAUAUGCAGUAUCUACAUGAAUACUAAAUUAAAGUAAAAUGCAGUAUACACAAACAAAAAUAAAAUCUGUUAAUUUCUACCAGAAAAUAAAACUACUGCAAAAUACUAUUGCAUUUUAUGUUUACAGGAUAAAGCCUUUAAAAGAAUAAAAACUCCAACCUUUUUCUCUUUCUUAUUAAAAUAGCAUAUUGUUCUUAAUAGCAGGAUUUGGCUGGGUGUUCUGGGUUACUGGUUCUAGUUGUCUAUCAGCUCAAGCAGCAGAGGUAAUAGAGAUUCUUAUUAAAUGCCACUUAAAACCUUUGUUCUGAAACUCCUGCUGGAAUUUUCUUCAGCAUCUUCUUCCUUUAGUGUUUUGAAACUGUUCUUAACUAUUUGGUUUAGAAAUUUCGGUUUUGAAAGAGUUUGGUUUGGAAAUUUUCCAAUAAUAACUAUUAUUUGGACUAUUUCAUAGUCUAAAUAUAAUUUCUACCUUACAUUUAUCUGUGGUCAGUUUACAUCUGUUUUCAAGUACAUGCCAUAUAUAUAAGAUAUAUAUAUGUCUUAUACAUAUAAAUGUCAUAUAUCUGUGCAAGUGUGCCUCAUUUACUUUCUCUUAGCUGUGACUAGCAGUUUGGGAAAGCCCUAUAACUGUCUUACAGUCAUCUCUUAUGCUUAUCUGAAAUAUGGAAGGAGGAAAAUAUAAUGUGAUUUGUCAACAUGUGUCUUGAUCACGGUAGAAUAGGGAACAUUCCCCUUUCAACUGGUGGGGUAUUUCUAAUAGUACCAAGUAGCAUAUUUGUAACAUAAAAUUAUAAUAACAAAACCAUGUUUUAUCUUAGGAACAUACAUUAAGAGUCUUGGAACAAGUGUACUUUAAAGAAGAAAUUACAGAACAGCAGCUCUGAAAAUAAUUGCUUUAGCUACUGAUGCUACAAGUUGGUUUAUAUGAGAACACAGCAAAAGAAAAUGUAAACAAGUUCCAUUUUACAAAUGUGAAAAGUGUUGCAUCUGGAGUUUCGAGCCUGAACUUUUCCACGAUCCUGACCUCCAUCAUGCCCACGUGCUGCACUCCCAGUUCAUGGAAUUUGGCAUGGAUGUCUUCUGGGCAUCUCUCCCUUUCUUUUGUAUCUAAUUUUGUACACAGGCAAGUUUCAGCUGAGUGCAAAAAGUACAUUUUCUUUAAUUAGGUCUAGUAUUUGUUCUUGGUAUUCUGUUUGGCUGUCCAUUAACACCUCUCUAAUGGAGUUAUUUUGAAAUCCGUGGAAGUAAAUUUUCAUAUUUUAUUUCCAUCAUAUUCACACCUAUAGGAUAAAAUUCAACAUCUUUUAGAGAGAUUCUGAGGACCAUAUCAUGAGCAAGCUGACCUUUUCUUUUUGUUAAAAAGACAGGGAAAUACAGUGUUUCCCGAUGAAAAUAUAUCCUAUAUCAUAGUUUUUUGUUUUUUCAAAUUUUGUGGCCAAGGCAUAAUCACUAACCAUAUACUUCCUCAUCCUACACUGCUGCCCAGAGGAUGAUUGAAUAGGGACAGACAAAAAAAAAAAAAAAAAAAAAAAAAAUUAAAAAAUAGUUAAAAAAAGGCAAUANNNNNNNNNNNNNNNNNNNNNNNNNCAACCUACACAACUGCCCAAAGGAUAAUUGAAAAGGGAAAAAAAAAAAAAAAAAAAAAAAAAAAAAAAAGUGGAAAAGGAUUGGAAAAAGUGGCAUUGCUUCUGAGAACACUGUUUGUUUCCUCUCCUUUCACACACAAAAAAAAAAUUAAACAAUUCUCUUUUGUGAGUAUGAUUCUUUAAAAGUCAUUUCUCAGCAGUUACCAAGCAAGAGUCAAGUUAGCCAGCCUGUGUGAAGAAAUCAGGCAACUGAACCAACCCAGGCACUGGAGUCAACUUUCAGUGCUCCAUAGAUAUUCUGCUCAAAAACAUUUCAAAAUUCACACACAGAUAUGUAAGAGCAGAUCUGUUUCACCCAGUAAAAAACAAAUUAACAUCUGUCUAGAAAAUGUUGCUCUGUUGUACACUUUGUCCUUCUCUUCAACUCCCACUCCAGUUUUCAUUCAAUUUUAAUUCUUGCUCAGUUCUGUUUUUUUCUGAAGAGUGAACAACUCAGGGAUUGCAACUCUGAACUUCAUGUUUCCUAGCUUGUGAAAAAUAGAUGUGUUCUAGCAGGUGUUCUUGCCAAGACAAAUACAAU